UUCCGGUAGCCUCCACCGUUUUCCGUUAACUUUUUAGCGCUCUCCGGCAGCGCAAAAGUGCAAUUAUGCAUUGCGAAUAUGUUCCUAGGACAUGCUCUCGUGCGUUGUAUGCACGCCCAAUGAUACUGCUUUUCGUGAAUUCCUGAGCUUUCAUCCACAGGGCACUGAGGAGAUAUUUCUGUCAAUUCUGGCAUCUUGAAAACUGAGAGAAACUCACUGUAUCACAAGCUGUAGUAGGUGGACUACUGUGAAAAGCUUGAAUACUCCCACUCAUGUCGCCUUCCAAAUACUGUGAGGUGCAAAACAUGCUGCAACAUGGCUAGCUUAUGAAGAAAUUCACUUCCAUUAUAAAAUCAGUGUUUGGUUUAUAACCCGCCCCGAGACUCACAACUCUUCUUAAUCCAUUAUCUUAAGACAAUUGGUAAGCAGACUCUUAGUGCAGCUAUCAAUGCGACA